CACAGCAGGUUGGGGGAAAUCACCUCGCAGCUACACCCACUCCCAGCAGACGCUUCCCAGGCUGUGAAGGACCAUUACCUCCAAAGCAGUGGGUUUGGUUAUCUCAGGCAUGUGGUGCACCCCGGUCCCUCUGCUGCAUGCACCCAGGACUGCCUGUGCUGCUUGCUCUUCUGGACCUGUGGAUGCUCCUGGGAGAGACGACACAGCUGUGCAGAGGUCACUGUGGGUGUCUUGCCCCAACUGCCUGACCCUUACAAGCCCUGAGCAGAACCCUGGGGAAUGAGAUAGAUGGGUGAGUUCUCCCUGCCCUCUCUUCCUCCCCAGGGACUGGGUUGGCGUAGUGAGCUUCCUGUGAUAAGACACAUGGUUCCCAGUGCCUCAGCCCAGCAGCAUUGCUGGGUAUCAGAAGACCCUUGACUGUGUCUGUGGUGACCAGUGUCAGUACAUAGGACAGGACGCCCUCUGUGGCACGGUGCCCCUCUCCCAGGCACGUGUAAUCACUCUCUACAUGUUGCCAGGCAAUUGUGCUGGGCAAGAAGUUGAAGCUGCAGCCUGAGCUGGAUAUUGAAAAGAUGAGCACCCCUCUGCUGCUCCAGGACAAGUUGAACCUUAUUAAGCACUGUGUAGCCAUCUUCCCAGGGCUCCAGAGGAAGCUGCUCACCCUCAUGGAUUCCUGGUACCAGCUGGCUUUGACAUCAUAGGUAUUGCCAAAUAAAUCCCGUAAAGUCCUAGUAGUCGAUGCUAAGUGGCCUCUUGGGCGCUGAAGAUGAGGGCAUCUGGAAGCUGUUAUCUGGAGCUCCUCAUCUCUGUCAGGGCCACCGCGGAUAGUAUAGACAGGUAGCUUCUUCGAGGAAUGCGUACGAGUCAGAACACAGUCCCCUCCUCAGGGCACCACUACAGGAGGCUGGCCUGUUGGUAACCCCGGGCAACGUCCAGUAGCUCCUUCAUUCAUUCAUUCCUCUAAGCAAAUUUUCUCUAACACCCAGUAUUUGGAUUCUGCCUAGUUGUUCAUUAAAUUGACAGGGUCCCCACAGGGUGUGGAUUUCUUGGAGGUGUGUGUGUGUGUGUGUGUGUGUG